ensembl:snRNA U5 U5 spliceosomal RNA
UCUGGCUUCUCUUCAUAACGUACAAGUCUUUCGCCUUUUAUUAAAGAUUUCCGUGGAGAGCAGCGCACUUUGA